rnacentral:tRNA from 1 species
GGAGGGUAAGCGAAUGGUUAGCGGUCACAUUGGAAAUGUGAUGCCCCCUUGUGGGGUUGCGAGUUCGAGUCUCGUGCCCUCCGC